rnacentral:rRNA from 1 species
UACGGAGGGUGCGAGCGUUGUCCGGAAUCACUGGGCGUAAAGGGCGCGUAGGUGGCCUGUGGAAGUCUGCGGUGAAAGCCCGGCGCUCAACGCCGGGUCGGCCGUGGAUACUCUCGGGCUUGAGCUCACUAGAGGCAGAUGGAAUUCCGGGUGUAGCGGUGGAAUGCGUAGAGAUCCGGAAGAACACCGGUGGCGAAGGCGGUCUG